UACAUGAGUGACAAGCGUUUUCCGUAAUAAUUGGGCGUAAAGGAUGCGUAGAUGGUAAAAGUAGUUAUGUUUACUAUAACAGUAUAUUGGGUUGUUAAUAUAAAACCUUUUACUUUGAGUUUUAACGGAGUUGAUGAUUUUUGUAAAUUAGUGAUAAAAUACUUAUAGUUUGCACGAAUUUCCGAAGGCGAAGGCACUUAACUAGUUAAAACUGACAUUGAGGCAUUAAAGCGUGGAUCACGAAUAGGAUUAGACACCCUAGUAGCCCACGCCCUAAACUAUGAGUAUUUAGUUUUUCGUAAACUUAAGUUAACGCGUAAAUACUCCGCCUGGGCAGUACAGUCGCAAGGUUGAAACUUAACAGAAUUGGCGGGAAUUUGUUCAAACGGUGGAACAUGUGGUUUAAUGCGAUAAUCCGCGCAAAAUCUUACCAAAGUAGUUGAUAUAUAGUAUUUUCAUUAACCGUGUUAUAAUAUUUUAUAUUGGCUAGGUAUUGGAUGGCUGUCGUCAGUUCGUGCUGUGAGGUGUAGAAUUAAGUUUUAUAACGAACGAAACCCCUAGAUUUAGUUUAAAUUAUUUCAUUGAAAACUGUUGUGUUUUGUGAUUUGAUUUUUCUAAUUUUUGAUCUUGUUACAUUAGUAAUGAGGAGGUGGUCAGGGCUGAAGUCAAGUCCUUAUGAUCCAUGUACUUUGGGCUACACACGUGUUACAUAGAUAAAAACAAAUAGUUGCGACAGAGUAAUCUUAAGCAAAUCUAUAAAAAUUAUCGUAGUACAGAUUGUUUUCUGAAACUCGAAAACAUGAAGUUGAAAUCGUUAGUAAUCGUAAAUUAGCACGUUACGGUGAAUGUUUAAUCAAAUUUUGCACACACCGCCCAUCACGCUCGAAGAGUUAAUGUUGUGUUGAAAGGUCCCACCACAUCGGACAUGUCCGAAUGACCACUUUAUACGAAUAAAUUUAUUAUAAAUAAAUGAUUCAGACACUAAAAUAUACGUUUUUAGUUAAGGUAGUCAGGCUAUUAGACCAACUUAGUUAUUUGAGUGAAGUUG
rnacentral:rRNA from 1 species